CGCACGGGUGAGUAACACGUAUCCAACCUGCCGUCUACUCUUGGACAGCCUUCUGAAAGGAAGAUUAAUACAAGAUGGCAUCAUGAGUCCGCAUGUUCACAUGAUUAAAGGUAUUCCGGUAGACGAUGGGGAUGCGUUCCAUUAGAUGGUAGGCGGGGUAACGGCCCACCUAGUCUUCGAUGGAUAGGGGUUCUGAGAGGAAGGUCCCCCACAUUGGAACUGAGACACGGUCCAAACUCCUACGGGAGGCAGCAG
rnacentral:rRNA from 1 species